rnacentral:lncRNA from 1 species
AUUUUCGAUAAAUAAAUAUAUCACGUUAAUCAUCUCGCGGAGUAGAACGUGAAUAUGUUAGGUCCCGUAUUAAUUAAAAGGUGGGUCGCACUGAAAUUUGGGCUCAAAGUUGACCUAUUUCAUAACCAUUUUUUCCAACAAAUGCAACUCUGCUGCUUCUUUUCCCGAUGGAGGUACUGUAAAAAAUUUCAAUUUCACAUUUUAGAGCCAAUUUGUUGAAUAAUUUAAUAACUUCUAUUCCAGGACAUUUCUAUAAAAUGUGUUUUUCUGUCAUAGAAGUUAGUUUUAUGACUUUUAUCUCUUGAUGAUAAUUGGGCUAAGAAUUUAGUUUAAGUAACUUAUUACCAUGAAGGAAAGAUGUAAAAUUUACAGGAGCGCGAUUAGUUUACUGAUGCAGAAGAAUGUAUAAUGUUACCAAGUGAAAAAGUUAUGCAGAGAAGUUUUGUGUUUUUUAAAGAAAUGUUAGUAAAAUUUACACAUUAAAGGGAAAAAUUUAAGGGACCACAACUUAGAAAUUAUUUGAUUUCGGAGGUUAUUAUUGUAUUUGGGGAUGUAGAUUCUAAAUAUUGCAACCCAGUCUGAGGCAAACUGGAGCAUGAAAUGUAUAUUCUUCUUUUUGGGGUGGUUGCAUGAAUAGCGGAAGAGGUUUAAUGUAUCAUGGCGUAUGUAGAUAAAAUCCUAGACAUUGUUAAAUUUAUCUCCCUAUUAAGUGGUGCCAUAUGUGGAGCAUUAUGUAAAAUCUAUUUAAUUAGACAGUGGUAUAGGUUCUUGUCUUAGGCGUACA